CGAACGCUGGCGGCAUGCCUAACACAUGCAAAGUCGAACGAGGACCUUCGGGUCUAGUGGCGCACGGGUGCGUAACGCGUGGGAACCUGCCUUUAGGUUCGGAAUAACUCAGAGAAAUUUGAGCUAAUACCGGACAAUGUCUUCGGACCAAAGAUUUAUCGCCUUUAGAUGGGCCCGCGUUGGAUUAGGUAGUUGGUGGGGUAAUGGCCUACCAAGCCUACGAUCCAUAGCUGGUUUGAGAGGAUGAUCAGCAACACUGGGACUGAGACACGGCCCAGACUCCUACGGGAGGCAGCAGUGGGGGAAUCUUAGACAAUGGGCGCAAGCCUGAUCUAGCCAUGCCGCGUGAGCGAUGAAGGCCUUAGGGUUGUAAAGCUCUUUCAGAUGGGAAGAUAAUGACGGUACCAUCAGAAGAAGCCCCGGCUAACUCCGUG
rnacentral:rRNA from 1 species